GAUGAACGCUGGCGGCGUGCCUAAUACAUGCAAGUCGAGCGAACGGACGAGAAGCUUGCUUCUCUGAUGUUAGCGGCGGACGGGUGAGUAACACGUGGAUAACCUACCUAUAAGACUGGGAUAACUUCGGGAAACCGGAGCUAAUACCGGAUAAUAUUUUGAACCGCAUGGUUCAAAAGUGAAAGACGGUCUUGCUGUCACUUAUAGAUGGAUCCGCGCUGCAUUAGCUAGUUGGUAAGGUAACGGCUUACCAAGGCAACGAUGCAUAGCCGACCUGAGAGGGUGAUCGGCCACACUGGAACUGAGACACGGUCCAGACUCCUACGGGAAGCAGCAGUAGGGAAUCUUCCGCAAUGGGCGAAAGCCUGACGGAGCAACGCCGCGUGAGUGAUGAAGGUCUUCGGAUCGUAAAACUCUGUUAUUAGGGAAGAACAUAUGUGUAAGUAACUGUGCACAUCUUACGGUACCUAAUCAGAAAGCCACGGCUAACUACGUG
rnacentral:rRNA from 1 species